CCUAUUGUUCCAUCAAUAGUAGCCUGAAGAGGCGUACGUGACUGGCAACGGUCGGGUGCGAAGCCCUCUUGACAACGACGUUCCAACCUAAGCAUCAUAGGCGAAGAAUGUCAAAGCUGACUGAUAUGAGUAA
rfam:Human gut metagenome DNA, contig sequence: F2-W_000957.